rnacentral:lncRNA from 1 species
AUUUUGGUGAGCAACAAUGGAUACUUUUUACUGUCCUAAGUGAAUAAACUCUUCUCCCUUGAGAUAAGAGGAUGUUCCCUCAUCGUCACAGACAUCACCCACAGACAUCACCUGCCGCUUUCCUUUCUCCAAGGCUGCGGGUUGUUAUGGCCGUGGAACAGCACUGAGGCCAGAUGAGAAGUUGAACUAUUCAGGAAUUGCAGAACCCCCCCACUUUCUACUGCAGUGUCAGGUUUGCUCUCUUGCAAGCUUCGUAGAGCGCAUGGAGACUCUAAGGGCAACGUAGGGGUACCCAAGAGAUAUGAGAAGAAGCAGAUGUUUCUUAGCGUUGAGGAAGUCUGUCUGUUGCUGCUCAGUUGUGGAGCUGCAGUUGAGCUACAGAAGAAUCUAUCUGGAGGAGGUGGAUCACCAGGUUGUCUCCCAUGCUAAUAACAGCUGUUUCUUCAGACAGGCUCUUUUUAAUAGCUGCGUUCCCAGCAAACAUGUGCUUUAUAACAAAACAGGAAUGUGUGAGCAGCCGUGGCAGUGUGUAGUGAAUGGGGUGCUUCGGGGAGCAGGAGUGAGUUGCAGCAAAGGAAGGAAAGGAUCUCAGCUUCACAGUGCAGUGCUGGUACCUGGAACCUGUGAUGGCCAUGUCUCAGUGAGAUGUACGUCUCUCAUGAGCUGGUAAAAAAAGUCUCUGGGCUCCAGCACUAGCAGCAGCUACCAACUUCUAGUCCCCUUUCCUGUAGAGCUGACUACAGGGAGCUCUGAGUGAGGGUGAGAUAGGUGCCAGAAAAGCAUGUAGUAUUUUUUUUUUUUUCCCUCCCUCCUCUUUUCUUUUCUCGUCUCUCAAAGGGGCUGCUACUUCAGAGGCUGUUUCCCAGCCCUGCUGGGUAAGUGGAAUGAAAUGGAGCAGUAGAAGUGAGCAGCAGGUUCUAUGGGAGGUACUGGCAGCCAGAGUCAAACACAGCAAGUAGCAGUGAUGCAGGAACAAACCUUUUGUCCUACCAGGCAUUUAUCUCGAAUUCUUUUAAGCUGCAGUGCUUACAAUUUGUUCCUAAUUAAUCUGAUCUUCAAUCAGAAAAUACAACACUUUUUUUUUCCCCCCUAUCAGAAGAAAGAAUGAAGCUGGAGAAAUUUCUUUGAGCACUGUUUCUUUCAGUCACUAAACAUGGGCUUACAAAUGCAUUUAUUAACGUUUGCUUGUAGAUCUUGCUGUCACUGUGUGGAGUAGGUCUGUGGUUAAUAAAAAGAAAGUUAUGUACCCUCCUGCUUUAAGAGAGCAAGUCCCAGUGAAAUGAACAGGGCUGCUGUGGUGUGGCUGGAGAGAGCGUGGUUUGAUGUUCUGUCUGCUUUGGGCAGAUGUGACUGCAUUGAGGAGGAAGCAGCAGCAGCAGAACGGCUGGUUCUGUCACAUGUGGGCUGCUGUUGAUUUCUUGGUUAUUCCACGAGUCAAACAGGCUGUUCUGUGUGUCCUCUGUCUGCUUGUCUUCAGAGGCAACCGGGCUGAUGUCAGUUCUUCCUGGCUGUGUUAAAAGCUUGGAGGAAGAAUCUGGUGGUAGUUCUAUUAAAAGUUCAUCCCAGGGAAGCAGAACUGGCCUCAGAGGUCAAGCACGUGUUCUCCACGGGUAUCAUUAAUACAACAGGCAUAAUAACAGAACGGCAAGGGUGUUUCAGUGGAGUAGUAAGGAUAUGAAGCAGGAGCUGAUAGGCACAAAGUGUUUUGAUCCAGCAGAGCCCUUGCCUUCACUGGAAAUAUAAAUAUUCUUCAAUUUUGUCAUAUUAAGACGGUGUCCUCUAAAUAACCUACUUGAUAGAAUAAAGCAACUUUCAGGAAAGCAUAAGCAAUCAGCAGAAAUCGGGUUCAGAUUUUUUUUUUAAAUAAUCUUUGCUUCUGAGGUUAAAAUAACAAGAACCAGAUGUAAAACUGCAGAUAUGUUCAGGACUUAGAAUUCACUUUGUGAGUUACGAUGUUGUGGCUUGGAGAGAGAGAGGCAAGCAGAAAGAGCCCUGCGUUCUGCCAAAUGGGCAGGAAUGUGAAGUUCUCUUGUUUCUCACUUCUGAGAAAUGGAGUAAAAAAACCUGAUGCUUGCAUAAGUAGUUCUGGCUCAUCUAUCUGAAUUUGCUUUCCCAAAGGAAGAGUCGUAUUCAGACUAAACUUUGUUAGAUACUGUACGUUUUUUUCUCCUGUAAGUAAUUGAAGUUUUAUGAACAUUAAGUAGAACUUAUGCAAAUAAUAAGUAAGAAACUUAUUUCCAGCAGAAGCGUUAAAUAAAAGCUGCACGAUCUUCCAGGCUACCAUUGUUGUAGUGAUACAAUAACUCACUGGAUAUUUUCUGCCCUUUUUCUAGGAGCUGGCAUCUCAUCCAGGGUAUGUUUGGAAGAUGAACAAAAGGGUUUGAUUUGUUGAUAAACGUUACCCUCUCUCUUUGGUGCAAAGAGCAAAUGACCGAUCUCCGGCCUUCUCCCUGAAAAAUGCUUCUUCCUCACUGCUGUCAGUAUCUGCCCAAGUAUUUUCUGCCUCCUUGUCUCUUGCUAAACUCUGAGUUUGCAGAUGAUGAUGCCUUAAUAAAUUAGUGGGUUGGAAAGGAGGGACGCUAAUGAAGUUUGUCUUAAUGGGAGGCUGUGAAAGCGAAUCUGCUAGGGCUGGUUUUCUGAGUUUUUCAAGGCUCCUCCAUGAGAGGGAUGGUAAAUAUUUCUUGCACAAAGAGACCUUUUUGCAUUAAGAGUCUGAUGCCUGCCAUGCUGUGUAUGCCACAGCAAACCAGAGCUCAGGAAGGUACUGAAACAGAAGUGCUGUUUUUUUCAAAUUGACUCCCUUUCAUGGAGAUCUUAGUUCUGACUACAGCAAGUCUUGUGUGAAAUGUAGUUGCUAGCAUGUGGAAAUGAGAAAUACAGAAAAUAAAUCUUUUGUCUGUGUGUGGCAGUAAGCACCACAGUGAUGUGGUACAACAGAAAGCACUGGCUCGUUGCUCA